GGGCCCUACGGGAGGCAGCAGUAAGGAAUAUUGGUCAAUGGGCGGGAGCCUGAACCAGCCAAGCCGCGUGUGGGAAGACGGUCCUCUGGAUUGUAAACCACUGUCCCCAGGGACGAAGAUGACGGUACCUGGGGAGGAAGCUCCGGCUAACUACGUGCCAGCAGCCGCGGUAAUACGUAGGGAGCGAGCGUUGUCCGGAAUUACUGGGUGUAAAGGGAGCGUAGGCGGGGAUGCAAGUUGGGUGUCAAAACUAACGGCUCAACUGGUAGUCGCAC
rnacentral:rRNA from 1 species